AAAAAACCCUUUAAUUGACAGAAACGGUGUGGUCUCUUAAAACCCCGCCCCACAAACAUCCAAAGUAGAAACGGUAAUGGGAAGAAAGUUGGAGUAUUGGUUUCGAAAAUAAUUCUCCCAAGAACAAUCUCAAAUAUGAAUAUCGAGUAGAAAGGAUUUAGGGCAUAUUCAAACUCCUUUUCAACGAAUUCAACUCAUUCACUCGUUAAUCACUAGGUAAAGAUGAUUAAAAUGUUUUGAUGUUGGAGUCAUUUCUAGAUGAUUUUUUUACAUUUGAAGUGGAAACUUAGGAGCUAAUUGGUAAAUGGUAAUGUCAUUUCAUACUUUAUCUUGAAGGUUUCUUUUCAUGAGUUGAACAUUGUAAACUUGACUUUUUCUGCGUUCUUUGUGAGAAUAAGAAAGUUUGCUAGUUCAAAUUGUUAAUGAAAGGAUCAACUUGCAAUUCCAAGGUAUGGUUUCGUCUCCUGGACUCAUGUUUGGUGUGUUUUUGGUUACUUUUCUAUUAUUUGAAGCACAGUAAUUGAUCUGAAUGGAGCCACAGCUGACGAUUUUUGUAUGCAUAUUGGUGAAAGGUUCUCGAAGGAGAUGGUGAUGACUUUAGCAGGAACUCCAGCAAUUCGACCGUCCAUUUCUCUCAUAAAAGCUUUGGAGCUGAAAAGCUGUUUCGACAUUGGCUUCAGAUCCUUUGAGCACCUCAAACAAGCCCAUGCACGCCUUUUACGCCUUGGGUUGUGCCAAGAAAAUCACCUCCUCGACACCCUUUUGGGAUAUUACACUCAAUUUGGCAACACCCAUUAUUCCAAACUUAUUUUCGAUCAAACCAAUGAGCCCAAUAUCUUUCUUUUUCAUACAAUUAUUAAAGGGUUGGUUUCAAAUGACUUAUUUGAAGAAGCUAUCAAAUACUACCAAUCUAUGCGUUCAAAGAGCUUGUUGCCCAAUAGAUUUACUAUUUCAUUCGCCCUGAAAGCCUGUGCUAGGAUUUAUGACUAUCGGUCGGGAUUGAAAAUCCAUAGCCUUGUUGUAAAAUUGGGUUUUGAUAAAUAUGUGUUUGUUAAUAAUAGUCUGGUGUCCAUGUACUCAAAAUGUGGGAGUAUAUACGAUGCCCAUAAAGUAUUUGAUAAUAUGCCGGAGAAAGAUUCACUCUCUUGGAAUGUUAUUAUUAGUGGGUAUCAUGAUGUUGGGAAAUUUUCGGAAGUUUUGAGCUUGUUUAGAGGAUUUUUGAGAAAUGGUUUGAAACCAGAUGAAUUAACUCUUGCUAGGAUUCUUUGUGCUUGUGCAGAGCUGGGCGCGCUUGAAUUUGGUGAGUGGAUUCACAGGUAUAUUAACUUAAAUGGCUUAGUAAAAGAUUUGGCUCUAAAUACCUCGUUGAUUUACAUGUAUACCAAGUGUGGAUGUAUGGACAAAGCACGGGGUAUCUUUGAUCAAAUGCUUGAAAAGGAUGUAGUUGCUUGGACUUCUAUUAUUCAAGGGUAUGUGGUAAAUGGUUUUGCAAAGGAAGCAAUAGACAUGUUCUUUGAAAUGGAGAGAGAGAAUGUAAAGCCUGAUUGCUACGCCAUUGUUGCCAUGGUACAUGCGUGUACAAGGCUUGGAGCAAUGAAAUUGGGAGAGCGGGCAAUCAACUCCCUUAAGUGGGAAGAAGUGGUGGCCAACCUUCCUCUUGGAAAAACCAUAAUUGACAUGUAUGCUAAAUGUGGGAAUUCUAACUCUGCAUGGAAAGUUUUUAAAGAGAUGAAGGAGAGAGACAUUGCAGUUUGGACUUCUACAAUGUCUGGCCUAUUCAUGAAUGGGCAUGCUAAAGUUGCAUUUGGUCUUUUUGCCCAGAUGGUAAAAUUUGGUCUCCAACCAAAUGGUAGUACUUUCAUAGGCCUGCUAAACCUUCGUGUCUGUGGUAAACGUCAUUCAGCAAUCAAGAUCAUUUCAGGGAUUACUAGAAGAGCGAUUGUGCUAAGAGACACGAACCUCCAUUGCUUUAUUGUCGGGACAUGUUUGUGUAAAGAUUAUCGGUAAAGUUUCAAUACAUACGGCAAACUUCUUGGUUGGAUGACAAUAUAACCAAGACAAACAGCAUAGCUCUGUCCUCUGUGAACUUUACAAAUAUACGCGGAAGUUUUUACAGAUGCAAAAGAAAGAAGGUGAUGUUUAGUUGAAUACUUUUUGUGCAGCAAACAUUUCUAUGGGAAAUCUUGCUACUGUAUCUCUUGCUUUCCCCUUUUUGUGACUCUAAGCUAAAACCAAAAUUCUGAUGAUUCUAAGGAUCAUAUUCCUUUGUUUCUGUAUCUCUUGCUUCCCCCUUUUUCCUACAUCGAUUCUUACUCUAUUUUAUACUUCACCAAACUUCAUGAGUAAUGAAGUUGAUGAUAAUGAAGAUAAAGCUGAAUUUUGGAUAAGCUUCCUGAAAUGUUUUCAGGUUCUCUCUCCCUCUUUUUCUUUUCCAGAAUAUAUUUAUAUCUGCUGCAUUAUUUCCCAGUGGUGACUUGGAAAUGGGGGAUUUAGGGCUCAUUUCUCUCACAUUUUCACUGUAAAUUUGUUAAAAAUAGCUAACAUUUUUUUUUCAGAUGCAACCAUUUAAUAAUGUAUCCCUAUCAGAUCUUAAAAGUUUUGGUAAAUCUUUGAGUUCUUUUAUAUAUUAGAAAGUUUAUUUGUUACUUCAUAGACAAAUAAAUUCUACUUUUUUUUUCUUUUUAUUUACUUUUGUGAAUAUGAGACUGAAACCAACAGGGAAUUGGGGCAGAUUUUCUCUGGGUUAAAAAAAAUUUUGAUGAUAAUAUAUCUAAGUCUUCUUUUAUAGAUUAUUAUGGGUGUAUCAUAAUUGCUUUUGUUAUAGUGCUAGGUGACCUAUCUUCAAUAAUGCAUGGGACAUAUAUAUGUGUUUUUCAGUCACCGUGUUUUGGCAAUUAUGCUAUGCCACGAACUGGAAAGAAGUUUUGAUUCAAUCGGAACAUAUUCAGUAAGUUAUCUUAUGUAUUCUGAGUUAAGGAAUAAAGGGAGACCAAUGCUACAGUUUUGAUGAGAUAAAUCAAGAAGUAGUGCUUUUUGUGGAGGAAACAAAGACCAAUUGAGAGCACAUUUGGUCAGCAUGUUAACAUCCACUGGACACAGAACGGAAUGAGUUUUAUCAUUUACUCCCCCACCUUAUUUGAUACUUUUCCAUUUACUUUUUCAGAUUUAAACAAAACCUUGCGCUAGAUGAUUUGAAGGUUUAUUAGGAAGCGCUUCUAAACAUUGAUGUAUCAGCUGGAUUCGCUCGCCUCUGACCUCUGAGACUAGUAUAGAUUAUGAAUCAAAUAAAGACCUUACCUAGAGCAAUUGAUCAAGUAUCAAUAAACAAUUCAAACGAUCUUGAACAUUGAAGAUAGUUCUUCGUUCCAGAUUCGAGUGGCAGGUACUUCAUUUGAUCAUUCAUUUUCAGAUUCUCCAGGUCACAAGAUCCCCAACUUUUAACCAGGAUGAACAGCUAUUUAUAAUGCUAUCAAAUGGAUUCAUAGGCAUUCACGAAAGAGAAAUUCUUUGUGCAAUGCUUCUGCUCUUUUUAUAAAUUUUUUGAGGCAAUAUAGUCUUGUUAUGCUUCACGAUUUGAUAACCUUCGACUGCAUGAACUCCUGUAUCGGCCUACUCAAUGUGUUUCUGCAUUCUCGACUAUAACUAUAUUUGGUAAGCCAGAGUUGGAACUCUUGGAAGUAUUGGAGUUGAGAACUGAUGAUGUGCACAGCGGCUCGGCAGAGUAGCAGUUGAAGUAAUUUGUAUGAUUCUAUGCACAAAGAUAUGCAAUUAUGCCGAGCAGGCGAGCAGGGCAGUGGUAGUUUGUAUGAUACUCCCUCCGUCUUUUUAUUAAAAACCUUUAUUUUAUUUUGGGGAGCCCAAAAUUAAGAGCUUAUUUCUAUUUUAAGGUUAGUACUGUUUGAGAAUUCUCCUCUUUUUGAUGAGUUAUCACUUUUUUUUUGUACUGAUGACAUCAAUUUCCAACACUUUAUCUCCCUCUCUUCAAUUAUUCCCAACCACUUUUUUAUUCCUCUCUAUCUCUCUCUAACCCUACAUGCAUUUAUGUACUUCUACUAACUUUUUUAAUUCCCGUGAAAACCCAAAUAGUCUCUUAAUUAAGAGACGGAGGAAAUAAUAUUUACAAAUAUGUUUUACUUCGGUAGGAUAAAUGUAUGAAAUAUUAUCAUUUAGAUAUUGUAACAUUUACAUGAAAGAAACACUGUGAAAGUUUGUAUGAUGGAAUUAUAAAAAAUUUCAUAAUAUUGUACUCCUAUCCGAUUUAUUUUGGUUACCCAUUAAAUGUCUUCUUUUGUUAUGUACAUUUAACCUAUUAACUUACUCUUUUCCCACUCUAAAUAAGAUACAAAUUGAUUACUCUCUCCGUUGUUGUUUUUUUUU